rnacentral:rRNA from 1 species
GAUGAACGCUGGCGGCAUGCCUAAUACAUGCAAGUCGAACGAGAGGAAGGAAAGCUUGCUUUUCUGAAUCUAGUGGCGAACGGGUGAGUAACACGUAGGUAACCUGCCCAUGUGCCCGGGAUAACUUCUGGAAACGGAUGCUAAAACCGGAUAGGUAGCAGACAAGCAUUUGACUGCUAUUAAAGUGGCCUUGGCCAUGAACAUGGAUGGACCUGCGGUGCAUUAGCUGGUUGGUGAGGUAACGGCCCACCAAGGCGACGAUGGCAGUAGCCGGCCUGAGAGGGCGGACGGCCACAUUGGGACUGAGACACGGCCCAAACUCCUACGGGAGGCAGCAGUAGGGAAUUUUCGUCAAUGGGGGGAACCCUGAACGAGCAAUGCCGCGUGAGUGAGGAAGGUCUUCGGAUCGUAAAGCUCUGUUGUAAGAGAAAAACGGCACUCAUAGGGAAUGAUGAGUGAGUGAUGGUAUCUUACCAG